GCAUAGCUCAGCUGGGAGAGCAUCUGCCUUACAAGCAGGGGGUCACAGGUUCGAGCCCUGUUGU
rnacentral:tRNA from 1 species